CAGAACCGCAGGAGGGGCCGGAGUCAGAGCAAGACGCUGUGGAUCAAGGUCCGGUGUCGGAGGUGGAGUUGGAGAGCGACUCUAAGGAAGGUGGGACCGGGCCA
rnacentral:SRP_RNA from 1 species